UGACGGUAUUCAACCAGAAAGUCACGGCUAACUACGUGCCAGCAGCCGCGGUAAUACGUAGGUGGCAAGCGUUAUCCGGAUUUAUUGGGCGUAAAGAGAGUGCAGGCGGUUUCUUAAGUCUGAUGUGAAAGCCUUCGGCUCAACCGAAGAAGUGCAUCGGAAACUGGGAAACUUGAGUACAGAAGAGGGCAGUGGAACUCCAUGUGUAGCGGUGGAAUGCGUGGAUAUAUGGAAGAACACCAGUGGCGAAGGCGGCUGCCUGGUCUGUAACUGACGCUGAGACUCGAAAGCAUGGGUAGCGAACAGGAUUAGAUACCCUG
rnacentral:rRNA from 1 species